ensembl:misc_RNA 7SK 7SK RNA
GGAUGUGAGGGCGAUCUGGCAGCGACAUCUGUCACCCCAUUGAUCACCAGGGUUGAUUCGGCUGAUCUGGCUGGCUAGGCGGGUGUCCCCUUCCUCCCUCACUGCUCCAUGUGUGUCCCUCCCGAAGCUCGGUCGAAGAGGAUGGCCUUCCCUGAAUAGAGACGGACCGGUCUUCAGUCGAGGGUGUAUGAGUAACUGUGCUCCCCUGCUAGAACCUCCAAACAAGCUCUCAAGGAAUGUAAAUGAAGAAGAUAUUGAGGUGACCAUAGUUCAGGAAGGGGGAAUUCACAGAGACUAGAAACCAGGU